AGCUCCCUUGGUCCAGUGGUUGAUGAAGGGUUGUUUAAAGCUUCUACACCUAGAGAUCUGGGGUUCGACGCUCAGGUAAUUUACAGAUUAAGAAGAAAAGUUUACAGGAGAUCUACAAUAAUGCACAAUUAGAACUGUUCGCCAUGAUUCUACGCAUGGAGAAGGAGUGCCAUCAGAAAAUGGUGUAAUAUGUGGUGAAUCUAAUAGGGUCGGAGAGAAUUGUUGGUAAUAGAAUUGAAUAAUAUCGAUUUUAAGUUUAAGAAAUACCGUAA
rnacentral:lncRNA from 1 species